UGGGGAAUAUUGCACAAUGGGCGCAAGCCUGAUGCAGCCAUGCCGCGUGUAUGAAGAAGGCCUUCGGGUUGUAAAGUACUUUCAGCGGGGAGGAAGGGAGUAAAGUUAAUACCUUUGCUCAUUGACGUUACCCGCAGAAGAAGCACCGGCUAACUCCGUGCCAGCAGCCGCGGUAAUACGGAGGGUGCAAGCGUUAAUCGGAAUUACUGGGCGUAAAGCGCACGCAGGCGGUUUGUUAAGUCAGAUGUGAAAUCCCCGGGCUCAACCUGGGAACUGCAUCUGAUACUGGCAAGCUUGAGUCUCGUAGAGGGGGGUAGAAUUCCAGGUGUAGCGGUGAAAUGCGUAGAGAUCUGGAGGAAUACCGGUGGCGAAGGCGGCCCCCUGGACGAAGACUGACGCU
rnacentral:rRNA from 1 species